rnacentral:rRNA from 1 species
GCUAUCAUGCAGUCGAACGCACAGCGAAAGGUGCUUGCACCUUUCAAGUGAGUGGCGAACGGGUGAGUAACACGUGGACAACCUGCCUCAAGGCUGGGGAUAACAUUUGGAAACAGAUGCUAAUACCGAAUAAAACUUAGUGUCGCAUGACACAAAGUUAAAAGGCGCUUCGGCGUCACCUAGAGAUGGAUCCGCGGUGCAUUAGUUAGUUGGUGGGGUAAAGGCCUACCAAGACAAUGAUGCAUAGCCGAGUUGAGAGACUGAUCGGCCACAUUGGGACUGAGACACGGCCCAAACUCCUACGGGAGGCUGCAGUAGGGAAUCUUCCACAAUGGGCGAAAGCCUGAUGGAGCAACGCCGCGUGUGUGAUGAAGGCUUUCGGGUCGUAAAGCACUGUUGUAUGGGAAGAACAGCUAGAAUAGGAAAUGAUUUUAGUUUGACGGUACCAUACCAGAAAGGGACGGCUAAAUACGUGCCAGCAGCCGCGGUAAUACGUAUGUCCCGAGCGUUAUCCGGAUUUAUUGGGCGUAAAGCGAGCGCAGACGGUUUAUUAAGUCUGAUGUGAAAGCCCGGAGCUCAACUCCGGAAUGGCAUUGGAAACUGGUUAACUUGAGUGCAGUAGAGGUAAGUGGAACUCCAUGUGUAGCGGUGGAAUGCGUAGAUAUAUGGAAGAACACCAGUGGCGAAGGCGGCUUACUGGACUGCAACUGACGUUGAGGCUCGAAAGUGUGGGUAGCAAACAGGAUUAGAUACCCUGGUAGUCCACACCGUAAACGAUGAACACUAGGUGUUAGGAGGUUUCCGCCUCUUAGUGCCGAAGCUAACGCAUUAAGUGUUCCGCCUGGGGAGUACGACCGCAAGGUUGAAACUCAAAGGAAUUGACGGGGACCCGCACAAGCGGUGGAGCAUGUGGUUUAAUUCGAAGCAACGCGAAGAACCUUACCAGGUCUUGACAUCCUUUGAAGCUUUUAGAGAUAGAAGUGUUCUCUUCGGAGACAAGUGACAGUGGUGCAUGGUCGUCGUCAGCUCGUGUCGUGAGAUGUUGGGUUAAGUCCCGCAACGAGCGCA